rnacentral:lncRNA from 10 species
CAAUUGUCCUGGCAGAUAAAAAGAAAAUAAAAGAAAAAGAAAAAAAAGAAAAGGUGACUAUGGUGGGUCUCAUAUUGUUACAGGAUUCCUUUGGUGCCACUUUGCCAGCUGGGAAUCUCUGUGGCCAGCACUGCCUGGAAAUCUCUGUGGCCACGGCUGCCUCUGGCCUGGCCUUUCUAGGGCCAGCUGGACUCGCUCUGCCUGCUCAGCCCAGCAGCCUGCACUCAGUUCACUCCCUGGCCCGGAUCCCAUGACUGCCUUGGCUCUAUGCUCAGCUUGAGCCUGAAUCAGGCGUGCUGUGAGUGGCUUCUGUAUAGGGCGCAGGCGUCUAGAAUAGGCGAAGGUUGGUGGUGCCCAAAACCUCAGAGAUGCCAGCAAUCGCGGAGCCCCAAGUGGUGUUACAGCUCUUGCUUGGGGAGUCCCAAGGUUUGGGCCCCAAGAAAAGUUGCAGCUCUUUACUCUCGUAGCUCAGCCAGUGGGAGCGUGUUAUAGCUGUCUUUCUCCUGUAGUCCGGUGAGCAGGAAUGUGUUAUAGCUCUUUCAUUCCAGCCGCCCACAGCUGAGUGAGUUCCAAGUUCUUGUCCUGUGACCAAGAGGAAUAAGGUGUGUGGACACUGGAGAGUAAGUAAGGCAGAGAAGAAUUUUAUUGAGCGACAGAAGGAAAGCCCUCAACUGUGAAAAGGGACCCUGAAAGUGGGUUGUCAUCUGUGAGGCUGAGUCUGGGCUUGUCUGGGUUUACAAUGGGAGAAUGUGUGCUGAUUGGUCCAUAGGUGUUCUUUGAAAAAAUCACCAUCCAAUUGGUUAAAAAGCAUCAUCCGGAAGGAACCAAUCAAGAGAGAGAAGGUCUGAUAAAUUGACCCCAGUGCUCAUCUAUUAAUUCAAAAGAAGCUUUGUGCUUGCAUCAGCGCUGCCUGACACAGGGGAAAAUGAGAAAUGCGGCCAUUGAUAUACAGAGAACGGCAAUGUGGCUAAACUGAAGAGAGUAGGCUUUUGGCCAGCUACUUCCAACAUGGCUCAUUUCAAAUUCUCACUUGUUCAACUAAAACAAAAUAUUAAUGAAUCUGCUGAAUAAAGCUUAUAAAUGCUGAAGAAUUAAUAAGGGUGAAAUCUGAAGGGCAUAAGGAUAUUUUUUUCAAUAAAUUCUCUUUGACCACUCAUGCUCAGGUGUGUUAUAUGUUACCUCUUGUUUUUAUGAAUCCUUCCAUUGUUGUAAAUGGGCUCUGUAUAACCUUUUCAAUUAGGAAAGAUCAAAGAGACUUUGAUAAAAUAUAUUGCAAAGUUACCUAUGCUUUAAAAUUUAAUAAAAAUGACCAAAUGACUAAGCAAGCACUGUUUGGUUAGAAAGUAGAUUAAUGUCAAGAAUUAUACUGAAUGUAGGUAGCUAUAUCAAAAAAGAGUGAUCAUAUGUAUGGUUAUGUUGCAAGGAGGAGAAAAUAGUUAGAUUUCUUAGUUUAAAAAUAAUUACCGGUGCUGGACGCCGUGGCUCAUGCCUGUAAUCCCAGCACUUUGGGAGGCCGAGGUGGAUGGAUCACAAAGUCGGGCGUUCAAGAACAUCCUGGCCAACGUAGUGAAGCCCCAUUUCCACCAAAAAUACAAAAAUUAGCUGGGCAUAGUGGUGUGCACCUGUAGUCCCAGCUACUCGGGAGGCCGAGGCAGGAGAAUCACUUGAAUCUCCUGGGAAGCGGAAGUUUCAGUGAGCCGAGAUGGCGCCACUGCACUCCAGCUUGGGCAACAGCGUGAGACUUUGUCUCAAAAGUAAUAUUAAUA